rnacentral:lncRNA from 1 species
CCUCCGCACGGUACAAAGCUGCCACAACUUCAAAGAGUAUAUCCCAGAGUCCUGCAAAAAAUAGACCAAUAGUAUUGACAUUUGACAUGUGAACCAUCAAUUAUUUCAGCCCAAACUGAUAUGAGAUUUCCUUUGCCAAAAAAUAAAGAAACAUUGAGUACCAAAGCAGAAAACUAACCUUGUGAUUGGGAGUUCAAAAUGUAGGAUUUCAUCUUUCCAAGUUCAGUCACUGAAAGGGAACCAGUCUUCACAAGCUUAAUCUUAGCAC